rnacentral:tRNA from 1 species
GCAGCAAUAGCUCAGUGGUAGAGCGCAUGCUUAACAAGCACGAGCCUGGGUUCAGUCUCCAGUACCUCCA